rnacentral:lncRNA from 1 species
UAAUAAUAAUAAUAAUAAUAAUAAUAAUAAUAAUAAACAAUGAUAAUCAAAAUGAAUAAAUAAUUGAAUAAUUAAAUAAAUAAUAAUGAUAAUGAUAAAAUAAUUAGAGCACUAUAUUUAUUAUGUACUAAGUUAUAGAAUUAAUCUAAAUAAAUUUAUUAAUUAUGUUAUUACUUAAAAUUAGUCUAAUUCUUAUUGAAAUUUCGGCAGCACCUCCCCGAAAAAUUGGACUAUCCACCUGUUUAGAUAACACAGUAUUAUUAUAUAUUUAUCAAUCAAUGCACACAGCCCAUCCGUCGGGCAAUCAAUCAACUUAAUUCCCAUCCUCCUUCAAUAGCAACGUCAUAGCUAACAAACCAUUUAAAUCGUCUAUCCAUUAUACAUUACUUNNNN